rnacentral:lncRNA from 1 species
ACCGCCAAAGCUGAUGUCAGGACACUUUUGAAAGAGACCAAAUUCAUUACAUACAGAUCCAAUCCAAAAUUCUGAUCAGCAUCUGAAAGAUGUAUAAAAGAUUUUGCAGAAUGACAAACAUAUCUAGUACUGGACUGUGUACCUGAGGAGAGGAGGAAACUAAUCAUGGCCUAUGUUGAUGACCUGGAUCGCCGAAGUCCACCCCCUCCUCCCACAGCAUCAGAGUCCACUAGACGAUCAACAAAA